rnacentral:lncRNA from 1 species
UGCCACAGAUUCUGUAGCUUCUUCUAAAACUUGACAGAUAUAUUUGCUUUGCUCUAAACACAUAACCACAAGCCAAGAAAGGUAAAUAAGUAGUCUGUUUCAAAGACUUUUUGGAUCUGAUGAGUUGGGGACAACCUCCCGUUGGUCCCCUUUCAUCUUUCAUUCUUCCUGGUAGAUUGGAUUUUAGAUGAGAUUAGAAAAAGGACUUGUGGUUCCUAAUUUUCCUUGAUUCUGUUGUUCUUUUGAGGAGGGAGGGGAGGGGCUCUUUUUUUUUUUAAUGAAAACUUUUUGCUAUACCCGUGCCUAUAGAAAGUUAAAUAUAUUGUAUGUGUACAGCCCAGUGGAUAUUCUCAAAGCACAGAUGCUCGUCUUUUGAUGAAAAAAAAUUCUUUUUAGGUGAAAGAGCGAAAAAAACAAUUAAAGAAGGAAGGAAAACCUACAAUUGUAGAGGAGGAUGAUCCUGAGCUGUUCAAACAAGCUGUAUAUAAACAGACAAUGAAACUCUUUGCAGAGCUGGAAAUUAAAAGGAAAGAGAGAGAAGCCAAAGAGAUGCAUGAAAG